GGUGGCUCAGUGGUAGAGCGCUUGCCUUGCUUGCAUGAGACCCUGGGUUCGAUUCCCCAGCACCA
rfam:Dipodomys ordii contig_36229, whole genome shotgun sequence.